GAGUCGGCCGGGCAAUCGCCGUCGUGAACGGAGGAAAGUCCGGGCUCCACAGGGCGGGAUGCCAGGUAACUCCUGGGGGGCGUGAGCCCACGGCCAGUGCAACAGAAAGGAUACCGCCUCGUUCGCGAGGUAAGGGUGAAAUGGUGCGGUAAGAGCGCACCGCGGACGUGGUAACACGUGCCGGCAAGGUAAACCCCAUCCGGAGCAAGACCAAAUAGGAAUCCAAUGCCGUGGCCCGCGGUGGAUUCGGGUAGGUUGCUUGAGGCGCACGGUGACGUGCGUCCCAGAUGAAUGAUUGUCCUCGACAGAACCCGGCUUACAGGCCGGCUCC
rnacentral:RNase_P_RNA from 1 species